rnacentral:lncRNA from 10 species
AUCUUCAUCUAUAUUCCAUCCUCGUUAUUUCUAGCAAGUCUAUGAAAUUUCUUACAUUAAUAGAAAUAAUGUAUUAAUAUUCAGCAAUGUGCUAAACAUUGUUGAAACAUUGUCUCAAUAUUACUCUUGGAAGAGCUCUAAGGUAGACAAUAUUUCCAAUAUAUGAGUCAUGAGGAAACUGAGGAAUGGAAAGAUUAAACAACUUGUUGAGGGUAGCAUAAUUGUAAAUGGUGAAGACAUAAUACAAAUCCUAAUAUCUAUGACUCUAAUGCUUUAAAAAAUCAUUAUAUACACUACGCUGUCUCUGAUGUGUGAAUCUACC